GUGCGCAGACUCCGUCCUGCCUCAGUCCAGCGGUGGUGAUCGCAGGCUUUUCUUCUGUUUCUGGUUGUCAGAUGUUGUAAAGCUGAGCUCCACCUGUUCAGCAGCGGUUAACGGAGGUCUGGACGCAGAAAGGCCGACAGAGAUGCAGCGAUAACAGCUUAACAGACACAAACAUGGAUGCUGCUCUCAGCCCCGACAUUCAGAGGGGCCGAUUAGAUGUUCAGGAGAGGCUGCUGGUUAAAAUAGAAGCUGCUGAAGAACAGAGUCCUGGUGGUGAUGAUCAGGACCCAGAGCUCCUUCACAUCAAGGAGGAACAGGAGGAACCUUGGACCAGUCUGGAGGAAGAACAGCUCAAUGUAAAGGAGGAGACUGAUCCCACAGUGUUUCCACUAACUGUGGUUCUUGUGAAGAGUGAGGAUGAGGAAGAGAAACCUCUGUCCUCACAGCUUCACCAGCACCAACCAGAAGACAGAGAUCUACCAACCAGCAGCUCAGCUGACCAGAUGAAGGCAAAAACCGAUGAAGAGGACUCUGGAGGAUCAGAAUCCAGUAGGAACUCAGAUCCAAAUACUCAUGGAGACACUUCCAGUUCUUCAGAAACAGAGGUCAGUGAUGAUGAUGAAGAGGAGGAUGUGAGCCAUCCUGACUCUCAGCUACAACACCUGUCAGACUCUGGGUCUGAAACUGAAGACAGUGAGAAUGACUGGAAGGAGAGCAGAGCUCCUGAACCUGGAGUAAACACUGCCAACAAGUCUUUAAGCUGCUCUGAGUGCGGUCAGCAAUUUGUUAACAAGCGCUCUCUUCAGAGACACACGACGAUCAAAUCAAGAAAAAGGUCUUCAAACUGUACAGUUCAUUGUAAAGGCUUUAAGGAGAAGCAAAAUAUUGACUCAUUGAAAGUUCAAACUGGUUUAAAAUGUUUUACCUGUGAUGACUGUGGUAAAAGUUUUAACUUAAAAAACUCUUUAAAUCGACACCUGAGAAUCCACACAGGAGAGAAACCGUUCCGCUGUGACGUCUGCGGACAAAGAUUUAACCAAAAGUCUCACUUAAAAAUUCACAGGAGAAUCCACACAGGGGAGAAGCCGUUUAGUUGCGAUGAGUGUGGACUAAGGUUUAACCAAAAGUCGAGCCUAAAUCUACAUAUGAGAGUCCACUCAGCGGAGAAGCCGUUUUCUUGUGAUGUUUGUGAAGAAAGAUUUAACAAAAAAUCUGAUUUAAACAAACACAAGAGAAUCCACUUAGAAGAAAAACCAUUUGGUUGUGAUGUCUGUGGAAAAAGAUUUAGUCGAAAGACAGACUUAAAUAUGCACACAAGAGUCCACACAGGAGACAAACCCUUUAGUUGUGAUGUUUGUGGACAAACAUUUAGCCUUAAAGCUAAUUUAAACAAACACAUGAGGAUCCACACAGGAGACAAACCAUUCGGUUGCCUUUUUUGUGAACAAAGAUUUAACAGAAGGUCACAUUUAAACAUACACAUCAGAAUCCACACAGGAGAAAAGCCCUUUGUUUGUGAUGUUUGUGGACAAAGAUUUAGUGAUAAGUCAGCCGUGAACAAACACAUGAGAAUCCACACUGGAGACAAACCAUUUGGUUGUGAAGUUUGUGGGAAAGGAUUUAACCAAAAGUCGAGUUUAAACAAGCACUUGCGGAUCCACACUGGUGACAAACCAUUUGGUUGUGAUAUUUGUGGACAAAGUUUUAAUCAAAAGUCAACUUUAAAUAUACACAUGAGGAUCCACACAGGAGACAAGCCAUUUGUAUGCCAUGUCUGUGGACAAAGAUUUAACCACAAAUCAAACUUAAACAAACACAUGAGGAUACACACAGGAGAAAAGCCAUUUGGUUGUCAUAUAUGUGGGAAAAGAUUUUACCAAAAGCCUCAUUUAAACAGACACAUGAGAAUCCACAUCGGAGAGGAAGCCGUUUAAAUAUUUAUGUUGCAGGGUCAUUCCCAACUUGGAACCCCAGAAUAGUUCUUCCCCAGGAAGCUAAUCUAGAGCCAAUUAAGGUGACGCCAACUGUAAGAUUGCUCUGGCUACAUGGAAGUACACCAGAAAGACAAAGGCAGGGCGCAGUUAUGGGUGAAUUGAAUGAAAUUCCAAAACACCGGAGGACGCAAGGGAGCCAGCACAAAAACAAGCGUAGAUCUGGGGUGCAAACGAGUAAGCGAUCAGGCAAGGUGACAUGAAGCAACAGUAGGAACCAGAGGUAAAUGGGUCAAUGAGAGGAGCUUAAAUACUGGGAGGAUGAGAGUUGUAGCAAUUGCAGGGGUAAAUUGACUAACUGAUGGCAGGUGUGGAGAAGGAGCUGGAAGAACAACUGAAGAGAAAGAGGUAGUGGGAACAGAGGGACAAGAACGACAAUCUAAAUGUAACUGAGGAUAACUAGAUACAGGGAAUAAACUAAAUACAUUGCCGAAGGGACCUGAAACACGGCUGAUCUGAUAAACACCAAAACCAAGAACUGUGUAAACAGUGACAGUCUAACCCCUGACAACAUGGUGGUGAUAGUGAAGUUUAAAUGGUUACCAGAGGUAAUUUUGCUUUAUCUACUAACAUUAAGGCAAAGAAGAUAAGGAAAACAUUUUUCAAACAUAUUUUACACUACGUCAGUGAAAUAGUUUCAAGGUAACUACAGACAAGUUAACAUUAAAGACCAAGUUUAAAUACCCAAGUUAUACCCAUCUUGAAAUAUAUAUUACUGACUUAAAAUACUUACUGUGGACUGCAAUAGAUGUUCUUAUGCUGCCAUCAAGCUAUCCAUGACGAGAAUUUACAGUGGAAUUCUGUAUUGGGGGUUCAAAUUUAACUUUACCUUUUAAAAGCUUUGUGCAAAAUCAGAGUCCUGUUAACUGAUCAUAGCAGACAAAGAUUCUGCUUCUGCAACCUGAAGUUGCAACAAACGUGGAUUCAGAACCCAUAAAAACACAGUAGAACUGAUGUGAAGCAUUACCAUUUAACCAUUAAGCACACAAUGUAAUUCUGAAUAAAAAUGGAGUUACCUUUGUACGGACAAACAUGCGGUAGUUUCCCGUUGAUCACUGUUGUCUUCAGCUACUCAUGCAGUCGGCUGCAGGCCUUUCUCCAUUUUUUCUAGACUCCUUUCAGGUGUUUGUAAACAACCAAACUGUAUUCCACCUUCUAAACUGGAUAACACGUGUCUGAAAUUGUACUUUCCCCUCUGACAACAUUUAACCAUUUUUACUGAUGUUUUUUUUUUUUUUUUAACACAAUUACAAUGUGUUUGUAAUGUAAAAACCUGUCAAUGUUGUUGGAGCUGCAGUAAGGGCCGUUUCAGUCACCAUUAGUUAUCUGCUUCCCAGGUUUAGGGUCCCAAACCAGGCUGUUUAUUUACACCUCUGACCCUGAGAGGAUCCAACUAUAAGAGUGUUGCUGCUUUAGAACCUUUGAUCUGAGGAUUCAGGUCAACACCCAUCACAGCAGUGGAGUCCAGAGCGCCUUUAGAAAUGAUGGAAUCACACCAAUACGGCGCCUAGCCAAUUGUUCUGGUGUGGUUAUGGUCUAAAUGCCAAAUGCAGUCCAUCAACUCUGUGGAAAUGUUUUACUUGAAAGGAUUUUUGCGUUGGACUGCAGUCUCCCAUCAGGGGGCGACUGCCCUCACAGCUCUUUGAAGAAGGCUGAUUCUAAAUUUAUUAGUUGUGGCUUUGAGGCUUCUGAAGCGUUUACCCUGCCUGGGUGGUGGGAAUCAGUGGAGAUGCGUCUGGCCCUUCUUUAUACUCGUUCAGCAUAAAUUGAGUCUAGAUCCUGCAGACGGCGGCAUUCUGUGUUGAGGAUCAGUGGAGCAGAUGCGUUUCCCUAUCCUCACCACUCUUUGUCUCCAGGAUCGGCCUUUAAUGUCAUUGCUGCACAGUUUGGUACUCCAUCUGUAUUUAAACUCCCUGCUUUUUAUAACUCAUCACUGGUUUCCUACAUUGGCAUCAUGGUCCUUGUUGCUCUGCCAGAUUUUUCGCCGUCAUUCUUCUUCAUGGCUUGUUUCUCUGCCCUGUUCCUCGUGUCUGUACAUUUAUUUUUUAAUUUAGUUAUAAAAAAUCUACACUCCA